CACUGGAGAUCAGACAUGUGAUCUUCCAAGAUCCAGGAUAAAGAAGGCAUCCCCCUGACCAGCAGAGGCUCCUCUUUGCAGGCAAACAGAUGGAAGAUGGCCGCACUCUUUCUGAUUACAACAUCCAGAAAGAGUCGACCCAGCACCUGGUCCUCUGUCUGAGGGGUGGCUGUUAAUUGUUCAGUCUUGCAUUCAUAAUGCCCAAUGAUGGCAUCACUCUGCAAUCUAGCCAUUUGC